AUUGAACGCUGGCGGCAGGCCUAACACAUGCAAGUCGAACGGUAACAGGAAGCAGCUUGCUGCUUUGCUGACGAGUGGCGGACGGGUGAGUAAUGUCUGGGAAACUGCCUGAUGGAGGGGGAUAACUACUGGAAACGGUAGCUAAUACCGCAUAACGUCGCAAGACCAAAGAGGGGGACCUUCGGGCCUCUUGCCAUCGGAUGUGCCCAGAUGGGAUUAGCUAGUAGGUGGGGUAAAGGCUCACCUAGGCGACGAUCCCUAGCUGGUCUGAGAGGAUGACCAGCCACACUGGAACUGAGACACGGUCCAGACUCCUACGGGAGGCAGCAGUGGGGAAUAUUGCACAAUGGGCGCAAGCCUGAUGCAGCCAUGCCGCGUGUAUGAAGAAGGCCUUCGGGUUGUACAGUACUUUCAGCGGGGAGGAAGGGAGUAAAGUUAAUACCUUUGC
rnacentral:rRNA from 1 species